GGUAUUUUGACCGUGCAAAGGUAGCAUAAUCAUUAGUUUUUUAAUUGAAAGCUGGAAUGAAAGGUUGGAUGAGAAAUAAGCUGUCUCUAUUUAAUUUUAUUAGAAUUUUAUUUUUAAGUAAAAAAGCUUAAAUUUUAAUAGAAGACGAGAAGACCCUAUAGAGUUUUAUUUAUUUUUUAAAUAAAAUUAAUAGUAUUAAUUAUUUUUAUUUAAAAUAUAAAUUUAGUUGGGGUGAUUGAAAAAUUUAAUAAACUUUUUUUAUAUUUAUACAUUAAUAUAUGAUUAAUUGAUCCUUAAUUUAAGAUUAAAAGAUAAAAUUACCUUAGGGAUAACAGCGUAAUUUUUUUUGAGAGUUCAAAUCGAAAAAAAAGAUUGCGACCUCGAUGUUGGAUUAAAAUAAAAUUUUGGUGUAGAAGCUAAAA
rnacentral:rRNA from 1 species